CCUGGUGCGCGGCGAUUGGCGGCGGGGGCGCUGAGUGGCAGCCGCACCGUCCAGCGGGCGCUGUGCGUGGGCCGCGGGGCGGGGCCAGGGCGGGUGCGCGGCGGCGGCGGGGUGGCUGGGCCGGCGGCGGCGGCGGUACGAGGCGCGCGCUCGGGGUCCCGGUCGCGAGGAGGAGGAGGAUGUGGCGCGCGGAGGGGAAAUGGCUGCCGAAAACAAGCCGGAAGAGAUCAUGAUGCAGACGUCCUUUUGGAUUUCUUUUUAAUAAUGUGUGACCCUUCACCUUUGAUUCCCUGACCUGCAUUACCUUGGUAACCAUUUCAUUUUUUAAUUUAAUUUCAUUUUUUAAUUUUGGUGUACAAGCUGUAACAUUUCAUCUUUCAAAGUGUAACACGCUGGGUUUCCUCAAAUAGAGAUAUACCCCCUUGAGUAAUAAAUUUGCAAAAUGCUGUCUUCAUUUUCUGUAUUAAAAUUCAUUUCAGUUUUUAAAAUAAAGUAUAAUUUGUGUU
rnacentral:lncRNA from 1 species